rnacentral:sRNA from 1 species
AACUAAACCUGAUUGGAAUGGAAAUCCUUUUUGCUGUUUCCUGAGCACCGCGAAGAACAGCCAAAAAGAUUGCAAUGUAAAGCAGGACUAACA